rnacentral:rRNA from 1 species
AAUCCAUAGGUUAAUGAGGCGAACCGGGGGAACUGAAACAUCUAAGUACCCCGAGGAAAAGAAAUCAACCGAGAUUCCCCCAGUAGCGGCGAGCGAACGGGGAGGAGCCCAGAGCCUGAAUCAGCAUGUGUGUUAGUGGAAGCGUCUGGAAAGGCGCGCGAUACAGGGUGACAGCCCCGUACACAAAAGCGCAUGUGCUGUGAGCUCGAUGAGUAGGGCGGGACACGUGGUAUCCUGUCUGAAUAUGGGGGGACCAUCCUCCAAGGCUAAAUACUCCUGACUGACCGAUAGUGAACCAGUACCGUGAGGGAAAGGCGAAAAGAACCCCGGCGAGGGGAGUGAAAAAGAACCUGAAACCGUGUACGUACAAGCAGUGGGAGCACCCUUUGGGGUGUGACUGCGUACCUUUUGUAUAAUGGGUCAGCGACUUAUAUUCUGUAGCAAGGUUAACCGUAUAGGGGAGCCGGAGGGAAACCGAGUCUUAACCGGGCGUUAAGUUGCAGGGUAUAGACCCGAAACCCGGUGAUCUAGCCAUGGGCAGGUUGAAGGUUGGGUAACACUAACUGGAGGACCGAACCGACUAAUGUUGAAAAAUUAGCGGAUGACCUGUGGCUGGGGGUGAAAGGCCAAUCAAACCGGGAGAUAGCUGGUUCUCCCCGAAAGCUAUUUAGGUAGCGCCUCGUGAAUUCAUCUCCGGGGGUAGAGCACUGUUUCGGCUAGGGGGCCAUCCCGGCUUACCAACCCGAUGCAAACUGCGAAUACCGGAGAAUGUUAUCACGGGAGACACACGGCGGGUGCUAACGUCCGUCGUGAAGAGGGAAACAACCCAGACCGCCAGCUAAGGUCCCAAAGUCAUGGUUAAGUGGGAAACGAUGUGGGAAGGCCCAGACAGCCAGGAUGUUGGCUUAGAAGCAGCCAUCAUUUAAAGAAAGCGUAAUAGCUCACUGGUCGAGUCGGCCUGCGCGGAAGAUGU